UCCCUGCUAUCCGUAGUGUGAAUUGCAGAAUUCAGUGAAUCAUCGAAUCUUUGAACGCACAUUGCGCCCCUUGGUAUUCCAUGGGGCAUGCCUGUUCGAGCGUCAUUUGUACCCUCAAGCUCUGCUUGGUGUUGGGUGUUUGUCCCGUCUCCGCGCGUGGACUCGCCCCAAAGUGAUUGGCAGCCGGCGUACUGGUCCCGGAGCGCAGCACAUGUCGCGCAAACGAGUGCCUUGGUACGGCGGCGUCCAUAAGCCCCUCUCUCACGCUCUUGACCUCGGAUCAGGUAGGGAUACCCGCUGAACUUAAGC
rnacentral:misc_RNA from 1 species